rnacentral:rRNA from 1 species
AUUGAACGCUGGCGGCAGGCCUAACACAUGCAAGUCGAGCGGAUGAAGGGUGCUUGCUCUUGGCUUCAGUGGCGGACGGGUGAGUAAUGCCUAGGAAUAUGCCCGGUAGCGGGGGAUAACGUCUGGAAACGGGCGCUAAUACCGCAUACGUCCUGAGGGUGAAAGUGGGGGAUCGUCGGACUUUUCGCUAUCUGAUGAGCCUAGGUCUGAUCAGCUAGUUGGUGGGGUAAAGGCCUACCAAGGCGACGAUCCGUAACUGGUCUGAGAGGAUGAUCAGUCACACUGGAACUGAGACACGGUCCAGACUCCUACGGGAGGCAGCAGUGGGGAAUAUUGGACGAUGGGCGGAAGCCUGAUCCAGCCAUGCCGCGUGUGUGAAGAAGGUCUUCGGAUUGUAAAGCACUUUAAGUUGGGAAGAAGGACAGUAAGUGGAUACCUGGCUGUUUUGACGGUACCAACAGAAUAAGCACCGGCUAACUUCGUG